rnacentral:rRNA from 1 species
UGGGCGAAGCCUGAUGCAGCGACGCCGCGUGAGGGAUGACGGCCUUCGGGUUGUAAACCUCUUUCAGUAGGGAAGAAGCGAAAGUGACGGUACCUGCAGAAGAAGCACCGGCUAACUACGUGCCAGCAGCCGCGGUAAUACGUAGGGUGCGAGCGUUAUCCGGAAUUAUUGGGCGUAAAGAGCUCGUAGGCGGUUUGUCGCGUCUGUCGUGAAAGUCCGGGGCUUAACCCCGGAUCUGCGGUGGGUACGGGCAGACUAGAGUGCAGUAGGGGAGACUGGAAUUCCUGGUGUAGCGGUGGAAUGCGCAGAUAUCAGGAGGAACACCGAUGGCGAAGGCAGGUCUCUGGGCUGUAACUGACGCUGAGGAGCGAAAGCAUGGGGAGCGAACAGGAUUAGAUACCCUGGUAGUCCAUGCCGUAAACGUUGGGCACUAGGUGUGGGGACCAUUCCACGGUUUCCGCGCCGCAGCUAACGCAUUAAGUGCCCCGCCUGGGGAGUACGGCCGCAAGGCUAAAACUCAAAGGAAUUGACGGGGGCCCGCACAAGCGGCGGAGCAUGCGGAUUAAUUCGAUGCAACGCGAAGAACCUUACCAAGGCUUGACAUGUUCUCGAUCGCCGUAGAGAUACGGUUUCCCCUUUGGGGCGGGUUCACAGGUGGUGCAUGGUUGUCGUCAGCUCGUGGCAUGAGAUGUUGGGUUAAGUCCCGCAACGAGCGCAACCCUCGUUCCAUGUUGCCAGCACGUCAUGUUGUGCACUCAU